rnacentral:rRNA from 1 species
CCUACGGGAGGCAGCAGUGGGGAAUAUUGGGCAAUGGGCGAAAGCCUGACCCAGCAACGCCGCGUGAAGGAAGAAGGUCUUCGGAUUGUAAACUUCUUUUAUGAGGGACGAAGAACGUGACGGUACCUCAUGAAUAAGCCACGGCUAACUACGUGCCAGCAGCCGCGGUAAUACGUAGGUGGCAAGCGUUAUCCGGAUUUA